rnacentral:rRNA from 1 species
GAUGAACGCUGGCGGCGUGCCUAAUACAUGCAAGUCGAGCGAACAGACGAGGAGCUUGCUCCUCUGACGUUAGCGGCGGACGGGUGAGUAACACGUGGAUAACCUACCUAUAAGACUGGGAUAACUUCGGGAAACCGGAGCUAAUACCGGAUAAUAUAUUGAACCGCAUGGUUCAAUAGUGAAAGACGGUUUUGCUGUCACUUAUAGAUGGAUCCGCGCCGCAUUAGCUAGUUGGUAAGGUAACGGCUUACCAAGGCAACGAUGCGUAGCCGACCUGAGAGGGUGAUCGGCCACACUGGAACUGAGACACGGUCCAGACUCCUACGGGAGGCAGCAGUAGGGAAUCUUACGCAAUGGGCGAAAGCCUGACGGAGCAACGCCGCGUGAGUGAUGAAGGUCUUCGGCUCGUAAAACUCUGUUAUUAGGGAAGAACAAAUGUGUAAGUAACUAUGCACGUCUUGACGGUACCUAAUCAGAAAGCCACGGCUAACUACGUG